rnacentral:rRNA from 1 species
UGGGAAGAGUAAGAAAGGUUGAAUAGAAUGAUAUGGGGAAUAUGAAAUUAGUUUGUAGAAAAAGGAAAAAGAUUAUGAAAGUAAAAGUCGUAACAAGGUUUCCGUAGGUGAACCUGCGGAAGGAUCAUU